UUUAAUAUUUUUAAUUAUGUUUUUUUUUGUUGUGUUUAAUGUUCAUUUUAAUUUAGUCAUCUACAUUCACAAAACAUUUCACUAAACCCCCUACUUCGUGUUAGACCUGAUUCUGAACCGCAGUUGGUCCUUGAGAGACGACCUAGGAGUCACUUCCUAGUCUAUACUGCAUUCUUUUAUGCUCAUUAAAUUUUGCAUGGGGUGCGACACCCAUCAGCGCUCCAUUAGGGUUCCUCUGAAAGUGUCUCCCAAGGAUGCACAUCACCCUCUCGAUGUCCUCGUAAUCCCUGUACUCCCCUGUAAGAGCAGCAUACCUACACUGGUCUCUUGGCCACUCAAUACCCAAAAAGUUAUUGAUGGUGUCGGGGUCAUACCUGAUGAUCUGGCCCCUCACAUAACUCAUGUACCUCCCAGCUGAUACUCCUCCUCUAGGCGAGGCGUUGGCAUAAAAUUCCUUCAUCAGCUCAAUGUUAGCUGGUGCAGGAUAGGUGGUCAAUCUCUCCCAGCCUCGCCUCUCUAUCUCCAGUCAAAACUCUAGAGCUAAAUCUGGAAUGUACACGACCUUUCUCUCCAUCAAUAAACGCCUCUCUUGUACAGUCACGUAAUGCUUCUCAUGCUUCUUAGAAAGGAACCGAGAAGAAUAAAAUCUCCUCAGCCUUUCUGGCUCCUUUCUCUUGUUGCCCAUGGUCUUCACUCUUCUUGAUGAUGACAUUCCUGUAUCAAAUAAGUUCAAUAGCUUGCUUUCAACAGUCCUAAUCUCCACUGUAACACCAAAUCCAUAAUUCUAGACCAAAUUCAUGCAAUUCAAUCAGUUCAAACAAUUUCUAUUUCAUCAAAUCAUGCAUAGAAAUCAAAAACCCUAAUUUAUCAUGUUCCUAAGCAUGUUCUUCAUCAACUUUCAAUUAGAAACCCUGA
rnacentral:lncRNA from 1 species